rnacentral:rRNA from 1 species
AACGAACGCUGGCGGCAUGCCUAACACAUGCAAGUCGAACGAGACCUUCGGGUCUAGUGGCGCACGGGUGCGUAACGCGUGGGAACCUGCCCUUAGGCUCGGAAUAACUCUCUGACAGGGGUGCUAAUACCGGAUAAUGUCUUCGGACCAAAGAUUUAUCGCCUUUGGAUGGGCCGGCGUUGGUUUAGCUAGUUGGUAGGGUAAAAGCCUACCAAGGCGACGCUCCAUAGCUGGUCUGAGAGGAUGGUCAGCCACACUGGGACGGGGACGCGGCCCAGACUCCUGCGGGAUGCAGCAGAGGGGAAUAUUGCACAACGGGCGGAAGCCUGAACCAGCAAUGCCGCGUGAGUGAUGAAGUCCGUAGAGUAGUAAAGCUCUUUUACCCGGGAUGAUAAUGACGGUACCGGAAGAAUAAGCACCGGCUAACUCCGUG